rnacentral:rRNA from 1 species
UCGAACGAGUUCUCGUUGAUGAUCGGUGCUUGCACCGAGAUUCAACAUGGAACGAGUGGCGGACGGGUGAGUAACACGUGGGUAACCUGCCCUUAAGUGGGGGAUAACAUUUGGAAACAGAUGCUAAUACCGCAUAGAUCCAAGAACCGCAUGGUUCUUGGCUGAAAGAUGGCGUAAGCUAUCGCUUUUGGAUGGACCCGCGGCGUAUUAGCUAGUUGGUGAGGUAAUGGCUCACCAAGGCGAUGAUACGUAGCCGAACUGAGAGGUUGAUCGGCCACAUUGGGACUGAGACACGGCCCAAACUCCUACGGGAGGCAGCAGUAGGGAAUCUUCCACAAUGGACGCAAGUCUGAUGGAGCAACGCCGCGUGAGUGAAGAAGGCUUUCGGGUCGUAAAACUCUGUUGUUGGAGAAGAAUGGUCGGCAGAGUAACUGUUGUCGGCGUGACGGUAUCCAACCAGAAAGCCACGGCUAACUACGUGCCAGCAGCCGCGGUAAUACGUAGGUGGCAAGCGUUAUCCGGAUUUAUUGGGCGUAAAGCGAGCGCAGGCGGUUUUUUAAGUCUGAUGUGAAAGCCCUCGGCUUAACCGAGGAAGCGCAUCGGAAACUGGGAAACUUGAGUGCAGAAGAGGACAGUGGAACUCCAUGUGUAGCGGUGAAAUGCGUAGAUAUAUGGAAGAACACCAGUGGCGAAGGCGGCUGUCUGGUCUGUAACUGACGCUGAGGCUCGAAAGCAUGGGUAGCGAACAGGAUUAGAUACCCUGGUAGUCCAUGCCGUAAACGAUGAAUGCUAGGUGUUGGAGGG